GUCCUCGAUGCGUAAAGUACAAACCACCCUUAUCAAUUUGCUAAUCUGAAUAUUUGGAUUGAUUGAACUCGUGUUAUUAGUUAUUAGAACCAGAUAUCUAAAUAAUGGGGUCUCCAAAUCUAGGGAUUGACAUCUGUGAAUUUGAAACCUUUCCCAAAUUGAAGUAAUUCAACUCGGGAAUAAGUGAAACUUCAACACACAUAGAUCUUAUGCAAUAUCGGAAAAAUUGCCAAAGCAUGUCAAUUGUCAAUUUUAUAUGUAGGAGUUCUGAUUGUUCCUUUUCCGGUUGUGUAUUUAUCUUUUGGAGGGUGGGGGAUAGGGAAGGGACUCUGUGACCUCUAAUUGCUUCGAUGAAUCUUAGGGUUAAGUUUUCUUGUUUUAGUUCUAUUAGCAUAGUUAGUUUUCUCCAGAGCAGUAUUUAACUCUCACACUAUCCAGUUCCCAUGUUUUAAGCUCAAUUUUUGCAACAUAGAAAAAGGGAUUCACGUAGUAAAUCCCUUCGUAUUUCAAUUUUUUUUUUCAGGGGAUGAGUGGAGCAGGAAGGUAACAAUCCUCGGAACUGUUGGCCUCAGAGGUGGAAACAACAAUUCCUAAUAACUUAGAGUUAUGCUCAGUUUUCGGCAGUUUGCAGCAAUGUAUAUGCUUUUUACCAAUCAGCAACCUCGAAUUUAGUUGUUACCUUGUUGUUUUGUGGUCUAGGUCCCAUUGUGCAAAGAUACAGCCAACUGAAGCAGCCCUUUCUUUACCCUCACCGGGGUGCCACAACUAUCAGUAAGAUGAAAAGGACAUUAUUGUUCGUACACUUGUCUUUUUCUGUUAUUUCAGAAGGAGAGUGAGUGGUGGACACUGCAAUAUACGAAGUAGAAAAUGACAAGGAUUUUGGAUGUCAUUUCUUGUUUCUACUCAUGGACUUCCACUCACCAUCGUGUUCAUGCCUUGUGGGCCAUGUUCUCUAAUGAUUUGCUUCAGUUGGAGAAAUUCUGCCCAUCUGUGUUAGAUAAUUUAAUCAUUUGAAACCAUGAUUUUAGGAUUGUAUUCUUUGCUGACAGACCUUGCCAUAAAUUUUUUUUGCAUGUUUUCCACUUUUCCUUAAUCCUUAUUUUUAUCCCGUUAACUUGUUUCCCUUUAACAUUUAUGGAUCAUAGGGAUUAGGAUGACAAAAUCUGCCUGGAGAUGUUCGUAUUAUGUUGCCAGGAGACCCAAUUUCCAAGUCAUUGAUUGGAAUAUUCGAGCUUCCUAUCCUCUUAAAGAAAGACAAUGCCAAGGCUAUGGAAAAACCAAAGAAAUUAAAAAAAAGGGGAAUAGGACAAUAGUUAUGAAAAAAUUUAUUAAUGUUAAAUAUGAAGUGAUUACUUUGUUCAGAACACUAGAACACUAUCAUGUGCUCGCUAUUUUAUUUUUUUUCAAUUUUCUAAAGAAUGAUCCUUUUCUUGCGGUCAAUGCCUUUGCAGGAGUCACUAAGUUGAAGCUGUUUUGUGGAUUCUAAUGCCCCACGUGGAUCCUGUAUCCUGUUUGCAUAAUGCUAUUGUGCUUUGAGGUGGCUUGCUGGAAGGUCAUUUGAAUCUACGGAAAGUAGCGCCGAAAGCUCCAACCUUACACAGAUGAGAACUUGGGUCCCAAACUAAUUUUUCUUGGCUUUCUUUCCCAACCUUCUAGUUUUGUAGCUCUUGAGUCCCCACUGAUGGAUACCGUCCAAAAAGAUUGGAACACGAGUACUCAUCUAUUUAAAGUUUUACCUUCAGGCGCAGUGUACAGGCAGCUCUUGUUCCCUGACCUGUUGGGGCACAUCCCGCGAUUUACUUCCCUCAUAAAACUCUAGGAACGGAGUGGUGGGAGCCUUCAAAGUUGGGGUUCUACCUUUUUUUUUUUUUUUUUUUUUUAAUAUAUAUUGAAGUUAGCAUACUAUAUUAUUUCUACGCUGUAAAGAUGCCUAUAAUGAAUUUUUUUUGACGUGUAAUGUUUGGUACAUACGAAUUUGUUUAUAUUUUGAGAUGGAA